rnacentral:rRNA from 1 species
CGGUAAUUCCAGCUCCAAUAGCGUAUAUUAAAGUUGUUGCAGUUAAAAAGCUCGUAGUUGAAUUUCUGGAGAGGCAGUCUAUCUGUCAAACUCGACGGAUGGUCAGCCUUCUUCAUCCUUCUGUUAACGAUUAAUGCCAUUCAUUUGCUGUCUUCCGGAUCAGAUUUUUUACUUUGAUAAAAUUAGAGAGUUUCAGGCAGGCUUGGCCGGAAUACAUUAUCAUGCAAUAAUAAAAUAGGACUUUGGAUCUAUUUGUUGGAUUAGACUACGAAGUAAUGAUUAAUAGAAACAGUCGGUGGAAUCAGUAUUUAAUUGUCAGAGGUGAAAUUCUUGGAUUUAUUAAAGACUAACUUAUGCGAAAGCACUUACCAAGGAUGUUUUCAUUAAUCAAGAACGAAAGUUAGGGAGAUCAAAGACGAUCAGAUACCGACCUAGUCUUAACCAUAAACUAUGCCGAUUAGAGAUCAGGUGAGCAACUAACACUCACUUGGCAUCUCAAGAGAAAUCAAAAUCUUUGGGUUCUGGGGGGAGUAUGGUCACAAGACUGAAACUUAAAGGAAUUGACGGAAGGGCACACCAGGAGUGGAGCUUGCGGCUUAAUUUGACUCAACACGAGAAAACUUACUAGGUCCAGACAUAGUUAGGAUUGACAGAUUGAUAGAUCUUUCUUGAUUCUAUGGGAGGUGGUGCAUGGACGUUUUUAGUUGGUGGAGUGAUUGGUCGGGUUGAUUCCGUUAACGAUCGAGACCUUAACUAACUAAAUAACCCUAUUGGUUGAGAUCAGUAGCGAGUUAUAAGAGGGACAAUUUGGGCAAGCAAACGGAAGUGUGAGGCAAUAACAGGUCUGUGACAGCCUUAGAUGUCCUGGAGCACACGCGUUAAACACUGACGCAGACAACAAGAAAGGCGCUCCGAAAGGCAGUAGGCAAUCUAUAAUGUACAUCGUGAUGGGGAUAGAUCUUUGUAAUCAUAGAUCUUGAACGAGGAAUUCUUAGUAAGCGUAAGUCAUUAGCUUACGCUGACUAAGUACCCUGCCGCUUUGUA